AGAGAGGUUAUCCUUUGUGUGUU
rnacentral:piRNA from 1 species